rnacentral:lncRNA from 1 species
UUUGUGAUAGUAAAACGCAAAAUAUAUAUAUAUUUUUGGACAUUUUUAAAGUUUGUUAGAACCAUGUCGAUUCAAAAAAAGAUAUUCCCAUUGAUGACAGGUUAUCUUACGUAAUUCUUAGCAUGUUUUUCAGUCAUUUUUAGUAGGUUUACCAGCAAAGAAGAGGAGAAUUAGAUCAAUUGCCUAUGAUUUCAGGAAAUUUGUAAUGUUUUCUUUAUUCGAGUCGGUAAUUACAUUCUUCCCGAAACAUACCAAUUCUAGGAUGUGUUUUUGAUGUAAUUCACGAAGAAAUCAUGCAAAUUGGCAAAGCAAGAACAUCCGAAGAUUAGUGAAGACCUUCAGAAGAUCAAGAAUGAAGAUUCAAGAAACCUCAAUAGAAUUUACAGAGGGAGGAAUUUUGUUCCUAGGUCUCAAGACAUCUUAUAUGGAAGCAAACACACAAAAUGACAGAAAAAUUGAAAAUUAGAGCCUAAAAAGCACACUCAUGCGCCUAGGGCAUAAGCAAUUCGCCUAGGGCAUGGUUUGUGCUACACUCACAUGCACCUAGGGUAUCGAGUGUGCGCACCAUGCACUCAAAAAGUGCGGGGCCAAAAUGAAUAUAUGUUGCAUUCGUCAUUCACAAUUUCUCGUUCAGAACUAGAGCAAUUCCAGAGGAAGGCGAUUCUAAGAGCUUCAUGAGAAACAUAAGAGGUAGAGAGAAAGUGGAUCAAGAGGAUAAAAGAGGAAGCUAGAGAGAGAGUUUGGGGUUGAAGAGCUAGGAGCUAAAGUGAAGUCAAAGUUAGGAUUCUUGAAGACUAGAGAAUAAGCAGCGGAAAUAAUUCGAUUUUCUUUCCUUGGAUCAUUACGAAUUACACAUGAAUCAGUGAUUCGAUUGUUACCUCGAAGUGUGAAACUGAAAACUGAAAGCUGGAACUGGAAACUGGAAUCACGAUCACAGCAAAGCCUCUAGCAAGUCCACACGAACAGUGCUCCUCCAAAACUCGGUGCUAGCCAAGGAAUCAGAAGUCUCAGAGAGCUAGGGUUUCUUCAAAACGCGUAACCUCAAACUUUAGCGUUAUAGAACUCCUUGUGUGCUAUGCAAGUCAGAAGUCACUAUUGGACUUCACUAAGCCCAAUAACGAGUUUAGUAAUUUUGCUAACUAAUUAGCGUUAUUUACUAAACGCACCCCUUAUAUAAGUCGUA